rfam:Asian citrus Psyllid, Diaphorina citri - Florida Strain, whole genome shotgun sequence.
UAGCUUAGUUGUCAGAGCAUCUGCCUCAUAAGCACUAGGCUGCGGAUUCGAUUCCCGC